rnacentral:rRNA from 1 species
UACGUAGGCAGCAAGCGUUGUUCGGAAUUACUGGGCGUAAAGAGUGUGUAGGUGGUGUCGUAAGUUUGGUGUGAAAUCUCCCGGCUUAACUGGGAGGGUGCGCCGAAGACUGCGAUGCUGGAGUAUGGGAGAGGAAAGCGGAAUUCCUGGUGUAGCGGUGAAAUGCGUAGAUAUCAGGAGGAACACCUGCGGUGUAGACGGCUUUCUGGACCAUUACUGACACUGAGACACGAAAGCGUGGGUAGCACACAGG